rnacentral:rRNA from 1 species
UACGUAGGGGGCAAGCGUUGUCCGGAUUUAUUGGGCGUAAAGCGUCCGCAGGUGGCACCUCAAGUCUGCUGUCAAAGACCGGGGCUUAACCCCAGAAAGGCAGUGGAAACUGAAGUGCUAGAGUGCAGUAGGGGUAGAGGGAAUUCCCGGUGUAGCGGUGAAAUGCGUAGAGAUCGGGAAGAACAUCGGUGGCGAAAGCGCUCUGCUGGACUGCAACUGACACUCAGGGACGAAAGCUAGGGGAGCGAAUGGG